rnacentral:rRNA from 1 species
ACACUCCUACGGGAGGCAGCAGUGGGGAAUUUUGGACAAUGGGCGAAAGCCUGAUCCAGCAAUGCCGCGUGUGUGAAGAAGGCCUUCGGGUUGUAAAGCACUUUUGUCCGGAAAGAAAUCCUUGGCUCUAAUACAGUCGGGGGAUGACGGUACCGGAAGAAUAAGCACCGGCUAACUACGUGCCAGCAGCCGCGGUAAUACGUAGGGUGCGAGCGUUAAUCGGAAUUACUGGGCGUCAAGCGUGCGCAGGCGGUUUGCUAAGACCGAUGUGAAAUCCCCGGGCUCAACCUGGGAACUGCAUUGGUGACUGGCAGGCUAGAGUAUGGCAGAGGGGGGUAGAAUUCCACGUGUAGCAGUGAAAUGGGUAGAGAUGUGGAGGAAUACCGAUGGCGAAGGCAGCCCCCUGGGCCAAGACUGACGCUCAUGCACGAAAGCGUGGGGAGCAAACAGGAUUAGAAACCCUUGUAGUCCCA